rnacentral:rRNA from 1 species
AACGAACGCUGGCGGCAUGCCUAACACAUGCAAGUCGAACGAGACCUCCGGGUCUAGUGGCGCAUGGGUGCGUAACGCGUGGGAACCUGCCCUUAGGCACGGGAUACCACUCCUAAAUGGGUGCUAAUAUCGGAUAAUGUCUUCGGAUCAAAGAUUUAUCGUCCUUGGAUGGGCACGCGUUGGAUUAGCUUGUUGGUAGUGUAAAAGCCUACCAAGGAGAAGCUCCAUAGCUGGUCUGAGAGGAAGAUCAGCCACACUGGGUCUGAGACACGGCCCGGACUCCUACGGGAGGGAGCAGUGGGGAAUAUUGGACUAUGGGGGAAAGGCUGAAGCAGCUAGGCUGCGUGAGUGAUGAAGGCCUGAGGGAAGUAAAGCUCUUUUACCCGGGAUGAUAAUGACAGUACCGGGAGAAUAAGCUCCGGCUAACUCCGUG